rnacentral:rRNA from 1 species
GCCCUGGUAGUCCACGCUGUAAACGAUGUCGACUUGGAGGUUGUUCCCUUGAGGAGUGGCUUCCGGAGCUAACGCGUUAAGUCGACCGCCUGGGGAGUACGGCCGCAAGGUUAAAACUCAAAUGAAUUGACGGGGGCCCGCACAAGCGGUGGAGCAUGUGGUUUAAUUCGAUGCAACGCGAAGAACCUUACCUACUCUUGACAUCCAGAGAACUUAGCAGAGAUGCUUUGGUGCCUUCGGGAACUCUGAGACAGGUGCUGCAUGGCUGUCGUCAGCUCGUGUUGUGAAAUGUUGGGUUAAGUCCCGCAACGAGCGCAACCCUUAUCCUUUGUUGCCAGCGGUUCGGUCGGGAACUCAAAGGAGACUGCCAGUGAUAAACUGGAGGAAGGUGGGGAUGACGUCAAGUCAUCAUGGCCCUUACGAGUAGGGCUACACACGUGCUACAAUGGCAUAUACAAAGAGAAGCGACCUCGCGAGAGCAAGCGGACCUCAUAAAGUAUGUCGUAGUCCGGAUCGGAGUCUGCAACUCGACUCCGUGAAGUCGGAAUCGCUAGUAAUCGUGGAUCAGAAUGCCACGGUGAAUACGUUCCCGGGCCUUGUACACACCGCCCGUCACACCAUGGGAGUGGGUUGCAAAAGAAGUAGGUAGCUUAACCUUCGGAGGGCGCUACCAC